UACGGGAGUGGCAAGCGUUAUCCGGAAUUAUUGGGCGUAAAGCGUCCGCAGGCGGUCUGUCAAGUCUGCUGUUAAAGCGUGGAGCUUAACUCCAUUAAGGCAGUGGAAACUGACAGACUAGAGUGUGGUAGGGGCAGAGGGAAUUCCCGGUGUAGCGGUGAAAUGCGUAGAUAUCGGGAAGAACACCAGUGGCGAAGGCGCUCUGCUGGGCCAUAACUGACGCUCAUGGACGAAAGCCAGGGGAGCGAAAGGGAUUAGAUACCCCUGUAGUCCUGGCCGUAAACGAUGAACACUAGGUGUCGGGGGAAUCGACCCCCUCGGUGUCGUAGCCAACGCGUUAAGUGUUCCGCCUGGGGAGUACGCACGCAAGUGUGAAACUCAAAGGAAUUGACGGGGGCCCGCACAAGCGGUGGAGUAUGUGGUUUAAUUCGAUGCAACGCGAAGAACCUUACCAGGGUUUGACAUCCUGCGAAUCUCUUGGAAACGAGAGAGUGCCUUCGGGAACGCAGUGACAGGUGGUGCAUGGCUGUCGUCAGCUCGUGUCGUGAGAUGUUGGGUUAAGUCCCGCAACGAGCGCAACCCACGUCGUUAGUUGCCAGCAUUUAGUUGGGCACUCUAGCGAGACCGCCGGUGAUAAACCGGAGGAAGGUGUGGAUGACGUCAAGUCAUCAUGCCCCUUACAUCCUGGGCUACACACGUACUACAAUGCUACGGACAAAGGGCAGCAAACUCGCGAGAGCUAGCAAAUCCCAUAAACCGUGGCUCAGUUCAGAUCGUAGGCUGCAACUCGCCUACGUGAAGGAGGAAUCGCUAGUAAUCGCAGGUCAGCAUACUGCGGUGAAUACGUUCCCGGGCCUA
rnacentral:rRNA from 1 species